AAUCCCGUCAGGCCCUCGCAACCCCCCGCACCCAUCCCAGGCCCUCGCGUUCUUUGCGAUCCGCUUGACCUCACCACUCGCCACCGCCUCCCCCGAGACGAACGCAAAAACCAUCGCCCUCGCCGUCAUCCUCGGUCUCGCGAUUGCCCUUGCCGCCGCUGUUGCGUCCUCCUCCUCAGAGAUGAUCCAUCCCCGUCGUCACCGCCACCCUCAAGCCGGCGCCCUCGCCCUCUCCCUCGCCGACGCCUCCCCCGAUCCAUCGCCGUCGUCGCCGCCUCCCUCAAGCCGGCGCCCUCGCCCUCGCCCUCGCCAUCGCCAUCGCCGGCGACUCCCUGAACAUCCGCGCCAAUCCGUCGCCGUCGUCACCGCCUCCCUCAAGCCGGCGCCGCGUCUCCCCCUAGCCGACGACUCCCUGACGAUCCGCGCAAAUCCGUCGCUGUCGUCCUCGCCCUUGCUCCGCCCCGAUGCUCGGGCCGCUCGCCUCCCCACCGCGCCAUCCCACCGAAUCCUCGAGGCUUGUCACCGAAUUCGUUCCCACAACUUCUGAAGGCUCCCCCGCCGCCUCCGUCUGCGCCGAGCACCCGUCGAUCUGGAUCCAGAUUAAGGUGUGACUGUGUGAGGAGAGGAGGCCCUAGCUGUUUGUUGCGUUCUGCAGAUCACUUUUAUGCAGGUUGAUUCGGUGCUAGAGGAAAGAUUGUGGAUGCGUUUGUAGAGUUCAAGCUUUGAUUUUGGGGUGUUUGAUCAUUUCCGUUUGCUGUUUGUUUAUCUGAUCAAAUAAACAGGAUGCGUUGCCCAUCAUUAUGCCUCUACCAGAAGUACAGGGUCAGAUGUCCAUAUGCCAUACACGACGGAUCAAUUCCGUUCACCCCAUCAAUUCCAUUUACCCCCAAAUGUGCUACUGGGGUGCCGAUAAUUAUCGAUUGAGAUUGUAAUGUGGAUAUAUUUCUUUCACGUUAAGACAAGAAAGUUCAUAGUGUCACUUCUGAUUAGGAUACAUUUUUGACUUAGCAAUUUGUGUACCAGUGUUUUGUUUUUUCUGGAGAAAACAGAUAUGUUAUCACUGUGCAUGUGCGUCAUGCAUAGAGUUUGCCUUUAAUUAAUUAUUGUCAAUUUGGAGGUUGCAGGACUUUGAUCUAAUUAUCUGCCUCCUGAGUUAUGUGUCAGUGUUAUGGUUGGGCAAGGACUUGCCAGAAUAGGUUCAGGCCUGCCUUCAAUCUCGCGGAUGGUUUCUGCAUAUUUGCCAAAUUUGUUAAUUUGUACUUUAAUUCAUUCUUGUGCAGAAGCAAUGGCAGCUGGCUACAUUGUAGGUUCGCUGGCUGGGUCCUUUGCCAUUGCAUACCUGUGUGACACAUUUGUUUCCGACAAGAAAGCAUUUGGCGGUUAGUGUCACAAACUUGUCUUGCCGAGCUUGUUUACCCAGCAUGUGUCUAACUUCUUGCAAGUUCGCAUCUAGCUUGCUUCAUUCUUUGGAAUAGGUAGCAUUCCCAAGACUGUUUCUGACAAGGAGUGGUGGCAAGCCACGGACGCCAAGUUCCAAGCAUGGCCUCGCACCGCUGGACCAUCGAUCAUCAUGAACUGCAUUAGCCGCCAGAACUUCAUUGUCAAGUCCACUGAAUAGUUGUCAAAAACUGGCUUCAGCAAGGCAACACAGCGGUUGGAUGGCAUCUAUGCAUUCUUUGCAGUAUUGAGGUUUUCUGCUGUUGAUUCGAAAGCAGAUGGCACCGUUCUGGAGAAACUGUGGCCACUGAUUGCUCAAAAUGAACCCUCAUUGAUCUCCUUACAGUUGCUUCCCAAACUAGCAGAUGAUGAUUGCUUAGCUGCCCUGGAUCUUCUUCAUUCAUUUCUUGUAGAACAUCUCUUCAGGGCUCAGGAAUAUUUUUCUAUCCAGGCAUCGCUACAGGUGCUAAUAUAUCUAGCUUGCCAUCCAAAUUGGGAAGUCAGAAAGGUAGCUUACGAUGCUACGAAGAAAGUCCUCUCAAGCUCCAGUGAUCUGGCUGAAGAUACUCUUUACUUAUUCACAGAUUGGUUUUUCAUUAGUUGGAGAGAGACUGUCAAUGUUGAAACAAGAGUAUUCACCUGUAGACCUAUUGAUAUCAAAUGCUAACCUAUUCUUGAUUCUUUGUCUUCCCUUUGGAGUCAUCUGCUUUCCAAUGUGGUGUUACUUUUUCUUCAUUUGAAUCCUCAAAAUUUAUGUCACAUAAAUUGGUUAAGACUAACAUAUUAAGCUCUUUUGCAUAA